rnacentral:rRNA from 1 species
UACGUAGGGUGCAAGCGUUGUCCGGAAUUAUUGGGCGUAAAGAGCUCGUAGGCGGCCCGUCGCGUCGGCUGUGAAAACCCGGGGCUCAACCCCGGGCCUGCAGUCGAUACGGGCAGGCUAGAGUCCGGCAGGGGAGACUGGAAUUCCUGGUGUAGCGGUGAAAUGCGCAGAUAUCAGGAGGAACACCGGUGGCGAAGGCGGAUCUCUGGGCCAUUACUGACACUGAGGAGCGAAAGCGUGGUGAGCGAACAGG